rnacentral:rRNA from 1 species
CGUGGGCGGACGGGUGAGUAACGCGUGAGGAACCUGCCUCAAAGAGGGGGACAACAGUUGGAAACGACUGCUAAUACCGCAUAAGCCCACGGGUCGGCAUCGACCAGAGGGAAAGGAGCAAUCCGCUUUGAGAUGGCCUCGCGUCCGAUUAGCUAGUUGGUGAGGUAAUGGCCCACCAAGGCAACGAUCGGUAGCCGGACUGAGAGGUUGAACGGCCACAUUGGGACUGAGACACGACCCAA